GAGAGAGAAUUUGCAAGUUGAAAAGAGAGACUAACAAUGUGCAGGGAGUAUGAGAGAUGAGAUUGACUCCAACCCCUUAUAUUACUCGACAAACUGUUUGCCUCCCCGGAAAAAUCAGGCAAUUAUUAAUAAUAAAACAUACAAAAAAUAUAGACAGAAGCAGAAGAAGUUAACAUUAAUUAAAGGGUUAUAAUGUAGCAAUAUGCGUCACGCGUUACCUCAUGGCACUAGUUGCAUCCUAAGUCGCGCAAUUCGCCACGACGCCGCCGACGGUCGCCUACCUUCCCCAACCCCCACCACGAACGGCCGUCCCAAGAGGAUCGGAGCCCUAGGUUUCCAUAUCACGAACAAUCGUACAUCCUCGAUCAAUCGUAACAAAGUUCCAAUGAGUAAUCGAUGAUUCCGAUGCAUGAACUGCGCGAUUUUCUUUCGAUUUGGACGCUGGAGGAGUGGGUAGGGGCGACAGGCAUGGUGGUGUGAUUCUGUGGGAGAGAGGGAAAUUUUCAGUUUGAUCCCUCGUGGUUUGGGUUGGGU